rnacentral:rRNA from 1 species
ACUCCUACGGGAGGCUGCAGUGGGGAAUCUUCCGCAAUGGGCGAAAGCCUGACGGAGCAACGCCGCGUGAGUGACGAAGGCCCUUGGGUCGUAAAACUCUGUCUUCAGGGAAGAAAAAAAUGACGGUACCUGAGGAGGAAGCCCCGGCUAACUACGUGCCAGCAGCCGCGGUAAAACGUAGGGGGCGAGCGUUGUCCGGAAUUACUGGGCGUAAAGGGCGUGUAGGCGGUUCGCGAAGUCAGGAGUGAAAACUCGGGGCUCAACCUCGAGAUUGCUUUUGAAACCAGCGGGCUUGAGUGCAGGAGAGGAAAGUGGAAUUCCCAGUGUAGCGGUGAAAUGCGUAGAUAUUGGGAGGAACACCAGUGGCGAAAGCGGCUUUCUGGCCUGUAACUGACGCUGAGGCGCGAAAGCGUGGGGAGCAGACAGGAUUAGAUACCCUGGUAGUCCACGCCGUAAACGAUGGGUGCUAAGUGUUGGGGGUAUCGACCCCCCUCAGUGCUGUAGUUAACGCAAUAAGCACCCCGCCUGGGGAGUACGGUCGCAAGACUGAAACUCAAAGGAAUUGACGGGGGCCCGCACAAGCGGUGGAGCAUGUGGUUUAAUUCGACGCAACGCGAAGAACCUUACCAGGGAUUGACAUCCCCUGACCGGGCAUGAAAGUGUCCUUUCCCUUCGGGGACAGGGAGACAGGUGGUGCAUGGUUGUCGUCAGCUCGUGUCGUGAGAUGUUGGGUUAAGUCCCGCAACGAGCGCAACCCCUACGUUUAGUUGCUAACAGGUAGAGCUGAGAACUCUGAACGGACUGCCGUUGACAAAACGGAGGAAGGUGGGGAUGACGUCAAAUCAUCAUGCCCCUUAUACCCUGGGCUACACACGUGCUACAAUGGUCCGUACAGAGGGCAGCGACACGGCGACGUGAAGCGAAUCCCUUAAAGCGGAUCUCAGUUCGGAUUGCAGGCUGCAACUCGCCUGCAUGAAGUCGGAAUCGCUAGUAAUCGCAGGUCAGCAUACUGCGGUGAAUACGUUCCCGGGCCU